AGCGGAGCGUGUGGUUUAAUUCGAGGCUACGCGAAGAACCUUACCUGGGUUUGACAUGGUGGUAGUACGGAAGCGAAAGCGGAAGGACCCUUCGGGGAGCCACCACAGGUGCUGCAUGGUUGUCGUCAGCUCGUGCCGUGAGGUGUUCGGUUAAGUCCGCAAACGAGCGCAACCCUCGGUGCUAGUUAUACGUGUCUAGCAUGACUGCCCGUGACAAACGGGAGGAAGGUGGGGAUGACGUCAAAUCAGCAUGGCCUUAAUAUCCAGGGCGACACACACGCUACAAUGG
rnacentral:rRNA from 1 species